rnacentral:rRNA from 1 species
UACAGGGGGUGCAAACGUUGCUCGGAAUCAUUGGGCGUAAAGCGCACGUAGGCGGUCUGUUAUGUCGGAUGUGAAAGCCCUCGGCUUAACUGAGGAAGUGCAUCCGAAACUGGCAGGCUAGAGUACCAAAGAGGGUCGCGGAAUUCCUGGUGUAGCGGUGAAAUGCGCAGAUAUCAGGAAGAACACCCGUGGCGAAGGCGGCUCUCUGGGACGGUACUGACGCUGAGACGCGAAAGCGUGGGGAGCGAACAGG